UACGUAGGGGGCAAGCGUUGUUCGGAAUUAUUGGGCGUAAAGGGUGCGUAGGCGGUUUGGUAAGUCUGAUGUGAAAUCUAUGGGCUCAACUCAUAGUCUGCAUCGGAAACUGCCGGGCUUGAGUGUGGGAGAGGUGAGUGGAAUUCCUGGUGUAGCGGUGAAAUGCGUAGAUAUCAGGAGGAACACCUGUGGCGAAAGCGGCUCACUGGACCAUAACUGACGCUGAUGCACGAAAGCUAGGGGAGCAAACAGG
rnacentral:rRNA from 1 species